rnacentral:rRNA from 1 species
UUUAGGUGUGAUUUUUCCCGCUCAGAUUGAACGCUGGCGGCAGGCCUAACACAUGCAAGUCGAGCGGAUGAGGGGAGCUUGCUCCCUGAUUUAGCGGCGGACGGGUGAGUAAUGCCUAGGAAUCUGCCUGGUAGUGGGGGAUAACGUUCCGAAAGGAACGCUAAUACCGCAUACGUCCUACGGGAGAAAGCAGGGGACCUUCGGGCCUUGCGCUAUCAGAUGAGCCUAGGUCGGAUUAGCUAGUUGGUGAGGUAAUGGCUCACCAAGGCGACGAUCCGUAACUGGUCUGAGAGGAUGAUCAGUCACACUGGAACUGAGACACGGUCCAGACUCCUACGGGAGGCAGCAGUGGGGAAUAUUGGACAAUGGGCGAAAGCCUGAUCCAGCCAUGCCGCGUGUGUGAAGAAGGUCUUCGGAUUGUAAAGCACUUUAAGUUGGGAGGAAGGGCAUUAACCUAAUACGUUAGUGUUUUGACGUUACCAACAGAAUAAGCACCGGCUAACUUCGUGCCAGCAGCCGCGGUAAUACGAAGGGUGCAAGCGUUAAUCGGAAUUACUGGGCGUAAAGCGCGCGUAGGUGGUUCGUUAAGUUGGAUGUGAAAGCCCCGGGCUCAACCUGGGAACUGCAUCCAAAACUGGCGAGCUAGAGUACGGUAGAGGGUGGUGGAAUUUCCUGUGUAGCGGUGAAAUGCGUAGAUAUAGGAAGGAACACCAGUGGCGAAGGCGACCACCUGGACUGAUACUGACACUGAGGUGCGAUAUGCUGUACG